UACGUAGGGUGCAAGCGUUAAUCGGAAUUACUGGGCGUAAAGGGCGCGUAGGCGGUUUGCCAAGUCAGGCGUGAAAGCCCCGGGCUCAACCUGGGAACGGCGCUUGAGACUGGCAGGCUCGAGUUCGGGAGAGGAUGGUGGAAUUCCCAGUGUAGAGGUGAAAUUCGUAGAUAUUGGGAAGAACACCGAUGGCGAAGGCAGCCAUCUGGACCGACACUGACGCUGAGGCGCGAAAGCGUGGGGAGCAAACAGG
rnacentral:rRNA from 1 species